rnacentral:rRNA from 1 species
UACGUAGGGCGCGAGCGUUGUCCGGAAUUAUUGGGCGUAAAGAGCUCGUAGGCGGCCUGUUGCGUCCGCUGUGAAAUCCCAGGGCUUAACCCUGGGCGUGCAGUGGAUACGGGCAGGCUGGAGGCAGGCAGGGGAGAACGGAAUUCCUGGUGUAGCGGUGGAAUGCGCAGAUAUCAGGAGGAACACCGGUGGCGAAGGCGACAUCCUGGACCGGUAUUGACGCUGAGGCGCGAAAGCCAGGGGAGCAAACGGG